AUGGAAGCAGAACUCACAGCACUAGACACUGCCACUGUUGAAGCAGAGUGGCUUCGUGAACUCUUGAUGGACUUACCUAUGGUUGAAAAACCAAUACCCCCUAUCCUGAUGAACUGUGAUAAUCAAACUGUGAUCGUCAAGAUAAACAGUUCUAAGGACAAUAUGAAGUCCUCAAGGCAUGUGAAGAGGAGACUAAAAUCUGUCAGAAAAUUGAGGAACUCCGUAGUUAUUACAUUGGAUUAUAUCCAAACGUCGAAAAACUUGGCAGAUCCCUUCACAAAGGGUCUAUCACGUAAUGUGAUAGAUAAUGCAUCGAUGGAGAUGGGUUUGAGACCCACCCCAUGA
rnacentral:rRNA from 1 species